AAGAACUAACAAGGAUUCCCCUAGUAACUGCGAGUGAAGCGGGAAAAGCUCAAAUUUGAAAUCUGGCGGGCCUCCGGUCGUCCGAGUUGUAGUCUGGAGAAGCGUCUUCCGUGCUGGACCGUGUACAAGUCCCUUGGAACAGGGCGUCAUAGAGGGUGAGAAUCCCGUCUUUGACACGGACUACCAGCGCUUUGUGAUGCGCUCUCAACGAGUCGAGUUGUUUGGGAAUGCAGCUCAAAAUGGGUGGUAAAUUCCAUCUAAAGCUAAAUACAGGCGAGAGACCGAUAGCGAACAAGUACCGUGAGGGAAAGAUGAAAAGCACUUUGGAAAGAGAGUUAAACAGUACGUGAAAUUGCUGAAAGGGAAACGCUUGAAGUCAGUCGCGUCUGCCAGGACUCAGCCUCGCUUUUUGCUUGGUGCCCUUUCUGGUUGGAUGGGCCAGCAUCGAUUUUGACCGUCAGAGAAAGUUGGAGGGAAUGUGGCCCCUUUCGGGGUGUGUUAUARCCCUUCAUCGCAUGGGAUGGUUGGGAUCGAGGAUCGCAGCACGCCCUUAAGGGGGGCUGGAGCUCUGCUCACAAACGUGCUUAGGAUGCUGGCUUAAUGGCUUUAAGCGACCCGUCUUGAAACACGGACCAAGGAGUCUAACAUGCCUGCGAGUGUUUGGGUGGAAAACCCGAGCGCGUAAUGAAAGUGAUAGUUGAGACCUCUGUCGUGGAGGGCAUCGACGCCUGGACUUGAUCUACGGAGACGGUUCCACGGUAGAGCAUGUAUGUUGGGACCCGAAAGAUGGUGAA
rnacentral:rRNA from 1 species